CUUUGGGGUUCUUGGGUGUCACACAGAUCUCGGUAGGACCUCCGAAAUGUUAAAACCUAGUGGGGAAACACCCACUCAACUCCCGAUUGAUUCAGUGUGCACCCAAAAAUCACGAAGGACCAU
rnacentral:pre_miRNA from 7 species